rnacentral:rRNA from 1 species
GAUGAACGCUAGCGAUAGGCCUAACACAUGCAAGUCGAGGGGCAUCACAUGAAGUAGUAAUACGGAUGGUGGCGACCGGCGCACGGGUGAGUAACACGUAUGCAACCUGCCUUCAACAAGGGGAUAACCCGUUGAAAGACGGACUAAUACCCUAUAACACAGGGGUCCCGCAUGGGAAUAUUUGUUAAAGGACAACCGGUUGAAGAUGGGCAUGCGUUCCAUUAGCUAGUUGGCGGGGUAACGGCCCACCAAGGCAACGAUGGAUAGGGGAACUGAGAGGUUUAUCCCCCACACUGGUACUGAGACACGGACCAGACUCCUACGGGAGGCAGCAGUGAGGAAUAUUGGUCAAUGGACGCAAGUCUGAACCAGCCACGUCGCGUGAAGGAAGACGGCCCUACGGGUUGUAAACUUCUUUUAUACGGGGAAUAAAGUGCCCCACGCGUGGGGUUUUGCAUGUACCGUAUGAAUAAGGAUCGGCUAACUCCGUG